rnacentral:misc_RNA from 1 species
CAGUGAGUCUCAUUUAUAGCAUUUCACAGUAGACAGCUAAAUAUCGUUUUCAGGAACUUAAUAUUUCUUAUAUGGUAUUAUAGCAUCCAAAAGCAAAUAUAUAAUAGUUUAAACAUUAUCACUAAAUUAAAAUAAGAAACAAGAAUUAGUGAAACAUGGGCUUACACAAUAUAGCCAUUUAGGGCAAAAUGACACAAUAAAUUGCAAGUGCAGUAAGCCUAUUGAACUAAUAAUUAUCCCAUAUGUGCAGGUUUAUCAUUUUAUGAUGCAGUUGAAUGCUUCAAAACAGUAUGGUUGAAAUGCCCAAAAAGGCUUCAUCAUACAAGAAACUACAUUACAACUUCAAGCACCUUAAGAAACAACUAGAUUAUAACCUUGGACUUUAGCAUGCAAAUAUAUGUGAGCAUUAACAAUAAAAGGAUCUCAUUUUAAUUUUAAUAAGCCUAACAUCACUUUUUAUCAAUGUCAUGAUCAGAAAGGUGGGGUGUCCCAAUUAACUUAUAGCAAAAUCG